rnacentral:rRNA from 1 species
CUACGACCAUAUCACGCUGAAAACACCGGUUCUCGUCCGAUCACCGAAGUUAAGCAGCGUCGAGCUCAGUUAGUACUUGGAUGGGUGACCGCCUGGGAAUACCGGGUGUUGUAG